UACGUAGGGUGCAAGCGUUAAUCGGAAUACUGGGCGUAAAGCGUGCGCAGGCGGCUUUGCAAGACAGAUGUGAAAUCCCCGGGCUUAACCUGGGAACUGCAUUUGUGACUGCAUGGCUGGAGUGCGGCAGAGGGGGAUGGAAUUCCGCGUGUAGCAGUGAAAUGCGUAGAUAUGCGGAGGAACACCGAUGGCGAAGGCAGUCCCCUGGGCCUGCACUGACGCUCAUGCACGAAAAGCGUGGGGAGCAAACAGG
rnacentral:rRNA from 1 species